AGGAGAUCUGGGGCAGCGAGCUGUGCGUCUGGCAGCGCAGGUCCAGCAGCGUGGGCCCCAGGAAGGCGAUGCACAGGCCGAAGCUGAAGAAGACGCUCCAGUAGGAUGAGCUCCAUGAGCUUUCCAAGGUGACCAGAUCCGGUUCCCGUCCUCAGGUGUGAGCUGUCCCAAGUUGGAGUCAGAUGGGGAAACUGAGGCACGGAGAAGCCAUGUUAUGUGGUCCCACAACCAGGAAGUGGUGGAACAGGAUUCGAGUCGAGGCAGCCAGGCACUAGAGAGAGCUCUGCUCUUGACCUCUGCCCUGCUUGUGAAUCCUGACCUUCCCCGCUACCUUAUAUGGUGAAGCUGGGCCGUCCUUUCCAUUACCAGGUGGAACUCUUGGCCAGAGGCAUACAGUCACAGGUGGCUGAGGAUCACCUCUCUAACCCCUGGCCCCAUCCCCUCUUCCCCAAGGCAGCCUUCCCACCCUCAACAGCUCCAGCUUCUGGAACCCCAGCUCUGUGGAGACAAUACUCUGGGCUGAGGUCAUCUUAAAGGCUUGCAAAAUCUUUGAGAUGGAAGGUGCCUAAUACAUUGUUGAAAAUAACAGAUCUUAUCAAGGGUGAAGAAAGCAAGAAAAGAAAUAGCGGCCAAUUCUAAUGCCAGGAUUGGGAUCCUGGGGGGAAGGAGGGGGCUGGAAUCCCUGCUGUUGG